UACGGGGGGAGCAAGCGUUGUUCGGAUUUACUGGGCGUAAAGGGCGCGUAGGCGGUCGUGACAAGUCACUUGUGAAAUCUCCGGGCUUAACUCGGAACGGUCAAGUGAUACUGUCGGACUAGAGUACAGAAGGGGCAACUGGAAUUCUCGGUGUAGCGGUGAAAUGCGUAGAUAUCGAGAGGAACACCUGCGGCGAAGGCGACUCUCUGGUCUGUAACUGACGCUGAGGCGCGAAAGCGUGGGGAGCAAACAGG
rnacentral:rRNA from 1 species